rnacentral:rRNA from 1 species
UACGUAGGGUGCGAGCGUUGCCCGGAUUUAUUGGGCGUAAAGGGCGCGUAGGCGGCCACGCACGUCCGUUGUGAAAUCGCCCGGCUCAACUGGGCGGGGUCAGCGGAUACGGUGUGGCUCGAGCAAGCUAGGGGGCAAUGGAAUUCCCGGUGUAGUGGUGGAAUGCGUAGAUAUCGGGAGGAACACCAGUGGCGAAGGCAGGUCUCUGGGCCACUACUGACGCUGAGAAGCGAAAGCAUGGGGAGCGAACAGG